UAGCCUAGUGGUUAAGGCUACGGAUCGCCAAUCCGGAGACGGCGGGUUCGAUUCUCGU
rnacentral:tRNA from 1 species